rnacentral:misc_RNA from 1 species
CCGAGUCUAUUGGGGGUUGAGCUGGCCUUUCGGGGCACUGUGCUCGCCUUCUAAUCCACUCUAUACACCUGUGCACCUUUUGUGGGUAUUAAUGUGCAUGAAUGGGGGUUGGAUAACGACCUCCGGAAGUGCGCAUAUACUCAUGUUUACACACACUAUGUAUGUCCUAGAAUGUCAUUUGCGAUAAUACGCAUUUAAAUA